AUUGAACGCUGGCGGCAGGCCUAACACAUGCAAGUCGAACGGUAACAGGAAGCAGCUUGCUGCUUUGCUGACGAGUGGCGGACGGGUGAGUAAUGUCUGGGAAACUGCCUGAUGGAGGGGGAUAACUACUGGAAACGGUAGCUAAUACCGCAUAACGUCGCAAGACCAAAGAGGGGGACCUUCGGGCCUCUUGCCAUCGGAUGUGCCCAGAUGGGAUUAGCUAGUAGGUGGGGUAACGGCUCACCUAGGCGACGAUCCCUAGCUGGUCUGAGAGGAUGACCAGCCACACUGGAACUGAGACACGGUCCAGACUCCUACGGGAGGCAGCAGUGGGGAAUAUUGCACAAUGGGCGCAAGCCUGAUGCAGCCAUGCCGCGUGUAUGAAGAAGGCCUUCGGGUUGUAAAGUACUUUCAGCGGGGAGGAAGGGAGUAAAGUUAAUGCCUUUGCUCAUUGACGUUACCCGCAGAAGAAGCACCGGCUAACUCCGUG
rnacentral:rRNA from 1 species